UACGGAGGGGGCUAGCGUUGUUCGGAAUUACUGGGCGUAAAGCGCACGUAGGCGGACUGUUAAGUCGGGGGUGAAAUCCUGGGGCUCAACCUCAGAAUUGCCUCCGAUACUGGGAGUCUCGAGUGCGGGAGAGGUGAGUGGAAUUCCCAGUGUAGAGGUGAAAUUCGUAGAUAUUGGGAAGAACACCAGUGGCGAAGGCGGCUCACUGGCCCGUAACUGACGCUGAGGUGCGAAAGCGUGGGGAGCAAACAGG
rnacentral:rRNA from 1 species